UGUGCUCCCUGCCGCCAUCUUGAGUCAAAAGUGCUUUCUUUUGCCCCUUUCCGCGUUUCUUAGGGCGGUUUGCUAUCCCUGUCACUGAACGUUGGUGAAGGGUGAGAGAGGCGCUCCCUGGCUACAGAGGACUCCAGGGAGCCGCACUGUUGUGGGAGCCGAAAUACAGAGGGAUCUCGGUCUGGCAGGAAUAAGUUCCUGCAGGCAAGGAAAGUGCACAUAAAAACCAAGAAGUGGUAACACAUGUAACAUCUCAGGAAGGACACAGUCAAGUCAAUGAAAUGAUUGAAGUCCCUGUGGAUGCCCAGAAAAAGCUGGUGUUGUGUGGAGCGCCCCCGCCCAUCGCCCACAGCGCUCAUCUUAAAGAUGGCACCUAGUGGAAGCUCACUAAGUGCUCGAAGUUGUAAACAACUUCGAGGAAGUGGUGCGCGAGGAGCGUGGAGAGCACGGGAACAUCACAUGCAGCCAAUCCCUACCCGAGAACUGAUUUCCGCACACGUGGACAAUGUCCCGAUUGG